rnacentral:rRNA from 1 species
UACGUAGGGUGCGAGCGUUAAUCGGAAUUACUGGGCGUAAAGCGUGCGCAGGCGGUUCGCUGUGUCCGAUGUGAAAGCCCCGGGCUUAACCUGGGAAUGGCGAUGGAGACUGCGAGGCUAGAGUUUGGCAGAGGGGGGUAGAAUUCCACGUGUAGCAGUGAAAUGCGUAGAGAUGUGGAGGAACACCGAUGGCGAAGGCAGCCCCCUGGGUCAAAACUGACGCUCAUGCACGAAAGCGUGGGGAGCAAACAGG